UGGCGUCAACACCGGUCAUUCGUAUCCUUCGAUUAUUUAUCUACGUUCUCAGUAUAGACGCCCCUAACGCGGCAAAUUAUUAUUUAUUUUUAUUAUUUUAACUUUUAAGUAAUAGUUCAGUUAGAUCAACAUUUCGGUCCACACUCCAUACCAGAUGGUGGCGGUAAUGCACCAAAUCGUUGUUUGCCAACCGCGAUAAAACCUCAGAAAAGAAAAAGAAGAAGCAUAAAUUGGUGACGCCAUACACCUGCUCGUCUUCACGCAGGUGUUUUUCAAUCAGCUGAUGACCGCAUAUUGCUUCCUUCUCCGAGGUACCUUGUGGCGGUAACCAACCGCCAUAAAACCUCAAAAAAGAACGAGGGAACUUUAAAAAAGAAGAGAAAAAGAAGAGGAAACUACCUCGGCGUGACGUCAGACGCCGAAAAGUUGGUCGCGUGAAUUAGCUCCUGUAUAAAACGCAGCUAGGCGCUCCAGGAUGGCGUGUUCGACCUGGUCCAGAUUGGUGGCCCGUCCAGAAUGAAACAACCUGCUUCCGGAGACCUGGUCGGAGACCUGGUCGGACCCGCCAUAUACAAAAGCCUGAGGCUGCCAAGAAAAGAUUGAUCUUCAUGAAGAUUGUCAAAUAGUAGGUGUCAUGAUUAAAUUCUGGGUGGCCGCUGUGUCCCCACUCUUUCUUGGCCGCUGUGCCUACAUCUCUCUGCAUUGUCCAACAUGGCCACGUUCUUUCUUUUCUCCUGCUUUCCAUCUGUCAAAUAGCUGAGGGUUGUACAUGGAGCAUUUGCCACAGGUUGGUUUUGUAUGUUCCUGACCACUUUAUUGGGUGGUCUUUUCUCUCUUUUUCAUCAUAGUCAUUAAUCUAACGUUAGCCUUAGCACGUUAAAAAAGAUCCUGGUGAUCUACAAACAUAGUACCUGGCUUUGGAUGGCAGCCGUGCCAUUGCCUUUAUAUUGCCAUAUGUCCUUUAAUGCAAGUAGGCCAUGAUCGCUAACUGUGCCCGCGCCUUCAUAGCCUACUUGUGUCAUUGUACGUCUGGCCUUGCGCGUAUAGUAAGUUUACAUAGACAAACAUGGGUGCCUUCCGCGUCCAUGCACAGUAAGUGAACUAACCUGUACUUUCCUUCUAGCAUCAGUCAAGAGGAGCAACGACAUCACUGCAUGUCCAUCUUAAUUAGAUCGCGUUUUAGUUGAGGUCAAAUUUCAAAUGUUAAGCAGUUUUUCUUUCUUGCUUGGCCGCUGUGCCAUUACUAUACCUGCUCUGACCUGAAUCUUGAUUCUUCAUGGCAACUGUGCCAUGACUGUACUUGGUCUUGGUGUUUAUGCCAGUCUAUAAUUUCUGAUCUGUUUUUCCUACCAAGUUUUACUGGUUGUGUGUGUGUGUGUGUGUGUGUGUGUGUGUGUGUGUGUGUGUGUGAUGACUGACGUUUAUCUGACCUUUGGACCAAGACUAAUACUCCAAUUGACUUUACUGCACCAGAAAGGUGAACAAAAGUUAUGUUACAAGACUGGCAAGAUGCACACCAAUUAGACAACAAGCUAAUUCAAAUUCUUUCAAACACAGGUAAAAUUUUUACCUUUCAGGUAGGUAUUAAAGGCCUUUGCUACAUGAUCUUUGUGGGUAAAUUGUGUCCACUCAAUUUAUAAAGUUAAUUUGCAUCUAAACAUUUACAAUGCAUGACACAGUGGCAUUACAAUAAUCAAUAUUUUUUGCGUUACUGAGUGCAAAGGCCUUUAUUUACACAGUGACACAUGCCAUGACGGCAGGUCUCCGCCUGUCUCAUGUCUGGUCUCCGCUCUGUCUGUAUGUCUCUCUUGCUGUCUGUCUGUCCUGUGUGUGUGUGUGUGGUAUCCGUCUGUCGGAUUUAGUCACUUUUUUAGUCUCGACUUAAAUGGGUGAUUUUGAAGCUGAUUAGUCUUGAGGCGUCUGAUUGCUGCAGGAAAUUCUAGUACCUUAUUUUGAAAUGGCUUUAAUUGAAAAAAAAUAUUUUGGUCUUGAAUCUGUUAUAGUUGCAACAUGGACUGUUGACAAACGUGGAAGCUGCUGAAUCAUGUAGUAAAUGCAUCAAAGUAGUUUGUCUAAAGUUCUUUCAAAGUGCUGUAAAAAUGUAGUAAUUGAUUAUGAUGAGCUAGACCAGGCCUUCCUUUAUUCUCAACUGGUAAUUGCUUUGAUAAGAUAACUUGUUCCUGAUUUGAUUAUGAAGCUAAAUAUUUAAUUUAUAUGCAAGUGUAGUCACAUUAGAUUGUAGGUGUUAUUCAGCCCAUCGAUAAUGUUAUGAUAUACUUUAAAUCUGGCAUUUGUUGGCACAUUUAAGUCUUAAACUUUAUGCACUGCCAUCAGCCUUUGUAGUCGCUAACUGAAAUCGAAUUCAAUAUUAAUGCUGACUUGUCUCACUCUGCCAAGUUUAUUUCCCUCUAAAGGAGUUGAACCUUUUUGUGUUCAUAGUCUUUUUGCGUGUCAUAUUGGGAGGCCUCCCAGCAGGGGAUUUUUAUCUUCCCCUGCAAAACGAUGCGUUACUCGCCUUAGGGAUGCAGGGCUAUCCUGCAUAGUUUCUUUCAAAAAUUAGAUUGUAGGUUGCAGGACUAGAGCGCGUUUCUUUUCUUUAGGAGGACACAAACCUGGCAGAGAGACAACUCGGAUUAUUUAAGUAAAGGUUGCGCUAAAUGAUCGAACUUCUUAUUUUUCGAUACGAUGACUUGAAAUAAAACUUUUAUUCUGUGGUCUGAAUUCAGACAGAAUUUCGCUUGAUGUUAAAGACUGUUGUGCAAGUACCCUCUUGUGGCAGGAGUGAGCAGCUGCAGCUUUUUAAUUUAUUUUUCGUUAUCUGAUUUGUUUUUUGGAUUGACUUGGUGUCUGGAGCUUUGUGGUUAACAGUGAUCGUGUAAACACAAGUGGUCUUUUGCCUCUUAUUUGAGAAGCUGGCAGCUGGUUGAAAUGAUAGGACUUUAUGGCUUGCCCAAAGUGGGAUUUUUGAUAGAGCAUAGGGUUAGGCAGCUUGUAGAGUCAUUAGGAAGAUGCUUAAUCCCAAUGUCUUGGUUGGUUGCAUGAGAAACUGCUAUCUCUUAGAUGUGUUGGCGAAGUUCCUCCUCCUGAUUUUUGUAGACUUGCCCUAAAGUUUCUCUCCGUUUUAACUCUUGUUGAGCUAUGCAUUAAAUGAUUCCUCCAACUUGUCUCCAUAUCAAUUUUUUUUCUCCCUGCAGCCUUCCACCACCCACUGCUGCUGUUGCAUCUGCUAAAGGUAGCCAUAUCCUGAUUCACUGCAUCUUCAUGUGUUGGGUAAGAAGUGUCAUUAGACUACUAACAAUGUAAACACCUUUUAAAUGCUUGAUCUAAUUUACCCAAAUGGUUCAUCAGUUUAGGACCAAAAAAAUCAUUGAAUUUGACAUUCUUGGGGUCAGUAACCUGACCUCUAAAUGUUUGGGGAAAGCAUGCAAAAGAUCACAAGCCCUCUGCAUGACCCAACAGCAUCGAUGUUUGAGUUAUUUAAUUUCUCAAUUUUUAAAUCAGUCAAGAUUUUGUGAGCUGGGUCUUCUUCACACAACAGAGAACAAGGUAAAUUGAGUCGACUCGUAAUAUGGUAAGGCAUUUCGUCUUUCCCCUUCUUCUGUGUGUGAAAAAAUCUGGAUCCUGACUGAGUGACAUACCAUGGCUGUGCAGUUUCCAAAAUCAGACAAGGAUCCAUCUGAUUUUGUGACUCGGCCUGUCGUGAUAUGCAUUUAUCUUCCUCUGAAACAAAGGAUUGGAAUGGACAGGUUUGUAAAUCACAUCACUUGUAGAUGGUGAAGCAUUUGUUUAAAUUGGGGUCAAGCAUUUUCAGGUGUCUGCUUUGUCAAUACUCUGGUGCCACGUCUUGCUAAACACACGAGAAGCUCUGAAUUGUGAAACUGCUGCCUCUUGCAGAUGUUACAACAGCAAUGGCUGUUGAAAGGCUGCAGGGAGAGAAAAUGAGAUCUGAGGACAGGAAAGUGGAAUUGAUUUCACGCUUAGCAAAAUGAGGGUUUCAGCAGAGGACCUUUUUGUGCCGAGGCUACAGAAUCAGAAGGAACGUUUGUCUGGGCAACUGGGAGAUUUACAGUUUUUCAUGCAGCCAACCAAGACAUUGGGGUUAGCAUCAUCCCAGAUGGUUGGCAAAGAUUGCUUGUAACUGUCAGUGUAGGACAGGAAAGGCAGGUAUAGGAUAGGAAGGGCAUCCAUCGGUGAGCUCUGACUGGAUGUGAGGACCUGUCACACUUGACCAGAGAUGAAGGCCGCAGCACAUUCCUGGAUCAGAGGACUCCAUGUUGGACACCACGACCUGGAGAAGUCCCGUCCUGGAUGACUGCGGUGAUGACCUAGCCCAAGAUGAACUGACCCUUCUACAACGAGGACUUCGCCCAAGAUGAACCGACUUUUUCCACGGGAUAUCUUCAGAUGUUGGACCUUGCCAAACUGUACACAUGCCUCAAUGGCUGCUACGCCACUCUGCCCAACAGGACAUGGUCACCGAGAUUUUUUGAUUUUUUUUUAAAAUGGACUUUAACCCCCCCCGUCCCCACUGACCCACAACCACACAUGACAAAACACUGUACAUGUGAUGCAUCGCCACAUUAAAAUACAGACACUGCUACUUUCAGUCUGUAAAAGAUCGCAAGCCCUCUGCAUGACCCCACAGCAUCGAUGUUUGAGUUAUUUAAUUGCAUAAUUUUUAAAUCAGUCAAGAUUUUAUGAGCUGGGUCUUCUUCACACAACAGAGAACAAGGUAAAUUGAGUCAACUCGUAACAUGGUAAGGCAUUUCGUCCUUCCCCUUCUUCUCUGUGUGUGAAGAAAUCUGGCCACAGAUCCUGACUGAGUGGCAUACCAUGGCUGUGCAGUUUCCAAAAUCAGACAAGGAUCCAUCUGAUUUUGUGACUCGGCUUGUCAUGAUAUGC